AUGGGGCUGCGGAGCUGGGGGCACGCAAGGUGGGGCCCGGCUCUGGCCAGGUGGGCACACCUGCCUUCAGGCAUCUCCAGCUGCCAGAUCUUCCGACUGUUUGAUCUGGUGUGGAAACGAGGGCCCACCAAUUCCCAGCUGCUCCUGCCUGCUGUGGAAACCUGGGAGGGGGGAGAGAAGACACUUAUGCACGAUGAUUUGAAGCCAGCCAGGAUAAACAGCUGGAAAAGACUUGCAGGCAGGGGAGCAAAUACACAGAGAAAGCCUGGGAGUUCUUUCCGAGCUGAACCAGCAAGACAAACCUCGCAGCGCCGGCGGGAGAUAAUGAAGCCUGGCUCAUUCCUGUCUCGUCGGCACUGCUUCGCCCUCUGCAGCCAAGGACAGAUCAAGGGGCUGCAGGCAGCAGGGCUGAGCCAGCCGAGCCCUGAGCCGCCGGUGGGCAUUACUGAGAACCAGAAAGCAAGCUCUUCCGCAAAAGGAGCAAGCGCCGCACGCGCUUCCCGGCCAGGUGAGCCAUGGUGGGGGCUGCCCUGGGAGGUCUGGGCACCACCCGGCUCGUAAUCGAAUCAAAACCAGAGCUAAGCUGUCGGCAAGGGGAAAAGACACUCUCGAGUGAUGCCUGGAGGACAUACCUUCCCUUCCAGCCCUACCUAAGGGGCCAGCCGUCCCCACUGUCUGCUGCCCAUGUGGGUUAAGGAACGCCCCCCCCCCUUUUUUUUUUACAGGCAGAGUGGACAGUGAGAGAGAGAAAGAGAGAAAGGUCUUCCUUUGCCGUUGGUUCACCCUCCAAUGGCCGCCGCGGCCGGUGCGCUGCAGCCGGCGCACCGCGCUGAUCCGAUGGCAGGAGCCAGGUACUUAUCCUGGUCUCCCAUGGGGUGCAGGACCUAAGGACUUGGGCCAUCCUCCACUGCACUCCCUGGCCACAGCAGAGAGCUGGCCUGGAAGAGGGGCAACCAGGACAGAAUCCGGCGCCCCGACCGGGACUAGAACCCGGUGUGCUGGCACCACAAGGCAGAGGAUUAGCCUAGUGAGCCACUGCGCCGGCCCAGGAACGCCCCUCUCUUGGGGAAACACCCUCUGAGGGUAGCAUGCAGCCCGAGGGCUCUCAACCGCAGAGCGCUUGUCUCCACACGGGACUGCUGUCCCCUGGAGCUGUUGCUGAUGGUCGUAACUGGGGACAUGCUACGGGUGUCUGACACACAAUGGCCAGGCUGCUGUGGGCAGCUUCCAGCAGCACAGGGCACAGUCCCGCCACGCCACAGAAUGGUCCCCAGUGACCCUACUUGGAAGUGGAAGAAGCCGCUCCAACCUUCCAUUGUCUGGGAGUCUUCGGCUGUCCAGUGCCACUGGUGCUGAAUUUGACUGUGUCCGCUUUCAGAAACUGUCUCCAUGUGCACCUGAUCAAAAUACAGCCCCCUGCGAGUUAACAGUGUCUCAUCGCAGAUCGCAUAUGCAGCGGGGGUCCCCUAAGGCCGAGUCGCCAUGCAGCGUCGCGGCUGUCUUAGCUGCGGUGUCUGCACAGCCGUGAGUAUCUCUCCACAACGCAAUCCCCUGACCGUCG
ensembl:lncRNA